rnacentral:rRNA from 1 species
UGAGUAACACGUAUGCAACCUGCCUGCCACAGCCGGAUAAUCGGGAGAAAUUCCGUCUAAUACGGCAUAAUGCAUCGACGGGACAUCCUGUUGGUGCCAAAGGUUGAUUCCGGUGGCGGAUGGGCAUGCGUCGCAUUAGUUAGUUGGCGGUGUAACGGACCACCAAGACGACGAUGCGUAGGGGUUCUGAGAGGAAGGUCCCCCACACUGGUACUGAGACACGGACCAGACUCCUACGGAAGGCAGCAG